GCAGUUUUAAAUGGUAGAAAUCAAGAACUCUUCCGAAUGCAAACUUGAUUGCUGAAAAUUUCUUCUGAAGUAAUCAUGUUGCCAGAUUCAGAGGGAGCCCAAGUGGAAUUAUCUGCCAAAUUUGUCUCAAUUCCUUCUCUUUCCCCUGCUGGAAAGGUGUAAGUGACUUGCUUUAUCAAGCAUGGUGAAACAUCAAACCAAAGGCUCUACAGUUUUUGUUUUAACUAUAGCUAAGCUUGUAAAAAGUAACGAUGAACAGAUUAAAUAUCAGUCAAUGAUUGAUAAAGUGAAUUGCCAUGAAGUUGAAUAAGGCUCAUGACUGAAUGAAGCAAUUGUAAUUUGGUGUUGCAAGUGUAGAGGAAUAAGUAUUACUAAGGUGUAUCAGCAUAUGAAUAUACAGAAGAUUUUUCAAUAUUCCACUACUUCUUGAUAGCCUUAGUUAUAGCAUCCAAAGGCAACAAGGGAUGUUUAUACUUAGACCACAUUAAUUAAUUACGGUUAAAUAGGAGUGUAUGAAUGGUUUAGUUAUAAAGGUGUACGUAAAAUACAUGUCAUUUGUUCUUUUAUUUGCUGUAAAAACUAUAUACCAUUAAUUUUUUUUCUUUACCACAUCCUACCCACAAAUGUUUUAGGUAGUUGGACAAUUUACCAUCCUCUGUUCUAAAAUUCAUAGCAAAACACACGUAGUUAAAAGAACUUAAUUCUUCUUGCUUAGAAUAUGAAAGCAAAACAUUGAAAGAACCACGUACUAAUCAAAGGGAAGCUACAAUUAAUACCAGAGCAACAAAACAGGCUAAGUAUGUAGCAGUGCAAUUAAGGCAGGUAGCAAUUAAUUAUGGAGUCAUGGAAGGAACAGAUAUUUCAAUACAAAAAUAAUUAAUGACAAGUAACAAGUUACGGCAUAGAAAGGAAUUUAGAACAUGUAACAGUUAAUAUAUGGAAUAAGAUAAUUCAUGAAUUAUGAGAAAGCAUGGAAACAAUUAUUUUGACGACGUAUAUACACUCGUCACGUCGCAUAUACGCCGUUAUACACAAAAUUCACAUCACAUAAAGUUCGAGGGUUCCUAAUUCCCUGAAAUCAAGGUUAGACCCAACACUUACCUCAUUCCGCAAUCAACUCUGUCACGAGCCGAAUCGGAGGGCCGCGACGGGCACCCGGUGACUUACUCAACCGAGUACCAACGUAACAUAUCUUUCUUAUCAUACCAUCAUGGGUAAACGGGCCGGAAAAACCGUCAUGAUAUAACAAGAAUGAAACAUAAGGGAAUACUCGACAUAUGACGACCCAACAUGAUAUACAAACUUAUACAUGUGACAUACGGGCCUAUAAGGCCGACAUGACCAUUUGUAAACUCAACACAUAGGCCAACAAGGCCAUACAAGUAUCCAUAAACCUGACAUCUGUCUACAAACCUCUAAGGGUACAUAAAAUCAUAAAGGUCGGGACAGGGGCCCGCCAUACCAAUCAAUACAUAUCCAAAGCAUGCUGACCAAAUAGGCAACUCCGGAGCAAGUGGAGUGCACCAACACCUCCGCUGAGCUGAUAUCCUACCAGGAGAAAUGUCAACCUAUCAAUUGGGACCUGCGGGCAUGAAACGCAGCGUCUCCAGGCAAAAAUGGACGUCAGUACGGAUAAAGUACCGAGUAUGUAAGGUAGGAAAACAUAAAUAAGAACAGUAAUGUAAAGAGAGAUAGAGAAAAUACAACCUGCAACAUUUGAGUGCCUCUGGGGGCUACUUACAUGAAAUGCAUAAUACAUAUAUACAUAAACUUUUUUAAAAACAUAUGCCUCUGUGGGCAUCAUCAUCAUCAUAUCGCACCCGGCCUCAAAGAGGACUCGGUAAAAAUGUACUCUGCCAUCAUAAGGCUCAGUAGAAUCAUACCCGGCCACAUGGAGCUCGGUAAACCCAACUGAUCAGUGGUUGCACAAUAGGUGUCGUACCCGGCCGACUAUAGCGCAGCUCGGUAGAGCAAAAUAGAUACAUAUAUAUAAUGCAUGCUCGACUCAUGGAAUCACGUUCUAAACCUUUCGGAGUGACGUAAGGUCGUUUCACCUUCGAUUAGCAUUAUGGACAUCAUAUCAUCAAUAUGAACUUCACUAGGACUCAAGGAUCAUACAUACUUUCUUAGAAUAACUUUGUACGGAAAUAACAACAUGUACAACCUUAGUUGCUAGGAGUAGAUUCAUUAUGAAAUAGUGUAUCGUUUAUGUUCAUUUCAAUUUAGAUCAUGCCAAAAGAAAGAAGAAAGUGCCUUAGCAUACCUUAACCAUGGUGAGUCCUUAAUACCUCCCUAGAAACUCUUCAAACAACUCAACUCAAUCUACCAUUGCAUAAGGAGAUUCUAAAUCAGUGUUGAAUAAAGGCUAAGUCUGCAACUUAAACUUGUAGCUCGUUUAUAUAAAUCCGGGCAGCAUCUCCCCUGUAACAAGAGCCUCCUCCAAUGCCAUAUACCAACAACAAUUACCAGAGAAAUCCAACAAUACAUAAUUAUCAAUAACAAGACACCAUAAAAUAACAACAAGUCAUAACUAUUUUACGACGAGCGACAAGCUUCAAUUGGAAUUCGUAUACCCCAUAUCAUCCCUUAUAGACUUUUUACUUUAACUUAAUAGUAUCAUUAACAUCAUAAUGAAGUCAUUCGUCAAUAAUUCCAGCCUCAUACCAUAUAUCCAUAACAAAGAAAAUGAUCCACAACUCCAAUUAUUCUUAAUUAGCAACUUUAUUCACUAGUUCAUGUCUAGUCCAUCCGUUUAACUUAAUCAAUGUCAAGAUAAUCUUAAGAAGAAUCAAGAACACAAUAUAAUUACCUCCUACAGUUGAUUCAAGUUGAAAUCCAUGUUACAUUUAGCUUACAAUAGCCCAAUACACCCCAAUCACUUCAUACCCAAAACGACAACUAUAGUAGUGUCAAACACGUCGAAAAUGUUACAAAGAAUGACUAAUCCACCAUUUCUCCUCCAAAAACUCCAUUAAAUAGCAGCAAAAUAUACAACCCAAAAGCAACACGAAACAGCCCACAACAAGUCGAAUAAUUCGAACUCACGGCUUCCGAUCACCAUCCCGUGAGUUCUAGCUAUUAGGAAAUGAAUUUAUCAACCUUCCUUCAUAUUUCAAAGCUUAAAUACAGAAAUAAAGCAUUUUCUUAACUAUUAAAUACCUUCCAAAACUCAAACUACAAAGAAAAAGAGAGGUAAUAUAGUGAUACUUACGUCGUAGGGAUCAUUCUAGUGUUAUUGCUUCGUGAUUUCGUGCCUUGGACGAUAAUCUUGUUGGAUAACCUUGUGGACAGCUUAAGGGUGAGUUUAGGGGUCUUAUUUGUUCGAGCUCUC
rnacentral:lncRNA from 1 species